ACCUCGGCCUCUACCAGAACGACCACCUCCAUGACCACGGUCUCUAGUUGGACGACCAUGUAGCUCAUAGCAGUAAGCUUUGAUAUGGCUCGGCUUAUGACAGUGGUCACAAAUCUUAACCCCACGAGGUCGAGGCUGAGUUUCUUGAGCAGAAUUGAUAGGAGAAGAGCUUCCAAGAGUAGUUGGUUGUACCACAUGU
rnacentral:lncRNA from 1 species